CCCCAGGAGUACAUUUUUAGAACCCACAGCGCCAUAAACCAAAGAGAAGGAGACUUCCUGGUGCCCCGUCAGCUUCUGGAGGCGAUGUUCUCAGCUGACAGCUCUGGCACCCUCCCCUGUAGGUGAGACAGGUAAAUGGGAUUCUUGCAUCCAAAACGGAACAGGGUAAAAAUUCUCAAGCGUCGUCGACACAUUGAGAAAAACACAAAUUCAGCCUCCUGGGUUCUGGUCUAAUCCCCAGCCUCGUCACGUGCCCCAGGCCCUCGUCGCAGAGCCGGCAGCCCCCACACACGAAACCCCUUCCUGUUUCUCUAUGUCGAAAGGAACUCAGAAUAGAGACACUGAGCUGUUUGCGUUGUCUCUUUCGUCUUUGUCAACAGCAGAGGAUCUGCAAGGAAACAGCGGGAUUCCAGCAGUCAGACGGUCUUGCUUGGUGAAAAUUUCCAUAACCCUCCUGGGGAAUGCAGGAGACUUACAGAGACAACACAUGUGCGAAUGUUUACACAAAAGAGGUUAAAAGCAGCAAAGAAAUCAUCAUCAUGCCAUCUAUUUUUUUAACGACACAGAAAACGUUCGUGACUGCUUAGAAAUGUGUAAAUGGAAUUUCUCGGUUACUGGAUGACAAUGGAAAUCCUUUGAUUGGUGCAUUUUGUUGGUUGGUUUUGCUAAUACUUUGCUGAAUCUGUUAGCCUUCCCCCUUUCACAUCAAACUGUGGCAGCAACUCUGACGGGUUUUGCAAGCAUGAAGCAGAGGGAAGGGCUACCAAAUGGAUCUCUGUGGAGCGGUGGUUAUCACGGGGAGGAGACGGCAGCAUGCCGGGAAAAUAACACUGAAGGCCCUUUUUCCAGAAAGGAAAUAGAUUGAGUAUUCUGGUUUUGAAAAUAGCACAGGCUCAUUGGAAAACCUCCAAACUAUACUGAUGGGAGUUAAAGGGUGGGCACCGAUCAUGACAGCAGCCGGCAGUGUCCCCCCAGUUUAAACCUGGACACGAGGCCUUCCAGAUGUUUUCUCUGUGUAUAGAUACCUUGUUUUGAAAAACAACGAAAACAUGCUGUUUUGUAGUCUUUUUUUUACGAGUGACAUAGUGAGCAAUAAAUAGAUUAAAUUUGAACCA
rnacentral:lncRNA from 1 species